rnacentral:rRNA from 2 species
AAUGCCGGAUGUUCCAGUUGAUCGCAUGGUCUUCUGGGAAAGCUUUCGCGGUAUGGGAUGGGGUCGCGUCCUAUCAGCUUGACGGCGGGGUAACGGCCCACCGUGGCUUCGACGGGUAGCCGGCCUGAGAGGGCGACCGGCCACAUUGGGACUGAGAUACGGCCCAGACUCCUACGGGAGGCAGCAGUGGGGAAUAUUGCACAAUGGGCGCAAGCCUGAUGCAGCGACGCCGCGUGAGGGAUGGAGGCCUUCGGGUUGUAAACCUCUUUUAUCGGGGAGCAAGCGUGAGUGAGUUUACCCGUUGAAUAAGCACCGGCUAACUACGUGCCAGCAGCCGCGGUAAUACGUAGGGUGCAAGCGUUAUCCGGAAUUAUUGGGCGUAAAGGGCUCGUAGGCGGUUCGUCGCGUCCGGUGUGAAAGUCCAUCGCUUAACGGUGGAUCCGCGCCGGGUACGGGCGGGCUUGAGUGCGGUAGGGGAGACUGGAAUUCCCGGUGUAACGGUGGAAUGUGUAGAUAUCGG